UUCUUUGGCAAUGGGCAAAGAGACAUCUUGUUGUUGGUGGUGUUCUUAUAUUAGUCGGGGCAGAGCAGAUUGUAGUCCUUGUUCUUCCUAGCUGGAUGUCUGACUUGGUGGCCAAAGCUGUCUUAUACCUAGAACUCAUAA